CGCUCCGCUGUCCGCUCCGGCCGCGCGUGUCGCCGCGACUCAGGAAGAGGAGGAGGAGGAGGAGGAGGAGGCCACGGCCGGCGGUGCUCCUCGCAGCCAUUCCUAACUGAACUCGGAAGCCUCGGAGUUCACGAUACACAGAAGCAAGUUGAAUUCGUGGAAAGGCACGAAGGGAAGACCAGAAGAAGCAGGUUCGUGGUUGGCUGAGCGGAGUGGCACUUGGAAGUAGAUGUGAACAAGCACGGCAGAGUCGAGAGACAGGAGAGGGAAAAGGAGGAGGAAGAGGAGGAGGAGGAGGAAGAGGAAGAGGAGUGGGGAAUAGGUCGAUACGGUAAACUAUUGUCUGGAGGGUGAAGUGCUCGUGAGAAAACCGGGCGAAAGAGACGACUUCGGCUUCAUACGCAGUCCACAGCAGUCCACCAAUUUCACACGAAAUCCGAAGACUCGUUAUUUCACGCAAUUAAGAAACCUACCCCUAUGUCCACGCGACAUUUGUGUCGCCUUUCAAUCGAUAUCGCCACAUUUACAAUCUUGUCGAUUACAAACGGUCCGCAGUUUACAAACGAUCACAAUCAUGUUGAUUUUAGUUUAGAGUGCUUCUAUAUCUUCUAUGUCAUAAAAUGUGCACAUUAAACCGUCGUCAAUGUUUAUGAAUCUAGUAGACAGAUGUCGAUUUUACGGUUCACUUCCGUGCUAAAUCAGGAAUGAGGUGGAUUAGAUAGACAAAGACGAAUAAUCGACCCUUCAAACAUUUUGUCUAUCUAAUGUAUCUCUUUGACCUUAUAUUGCAGAAUUAGACGUUUUUACAAAUAAAAUUCAUAACUACAUAAUAACUUUUAAAUUUUAUUUUUAUUAUAUAAAUUAAUAAAAUUGUUUUCAGCCAUAUCCCCUGCAUUAUAAUAUAUUGAGAAGUCGAGAUGUUAGCAGAAUUUAUUCGUGGAGCUCGAUACAUUUGUUGUUUUAUUAAUUAACAUAUUUUUUUGCGUAGUUUUGCGUUCGUAUUUUCGCAAUUUGAGUAUAAAAAUACUCUUUUUUAUUCCUAUAUUAAAAAAUUUAUUAAACAUAAUAUGUGUAAAGAGAACUAUAAUGAUGAGAUUAUGAUUGGAAUUAUCAUGUCAUUAGAUAAUAUAAAAUAUUCUCAUAUUUGAAUAUUGAACUAUAUACAUCGCUCAAAGCCUAUAAAUGUCGCAAGUGAUUUUCGUAGAUAAUUUUGCAGAUAAUAUUUUGCUUGCACAUAUAAUUUAAUUAAUCUUUAAAGAAUGAUUCAAAGAUGUCAUUAUUUCCUAUAUGAUACUUUUGCUCAAUUCAUAAUUAUUAUUAUUGGAGGAUUAUACUAUAUUUUGCUUAAUAAAACUACACAAAAUUUCUUCAUGUAAGCAAGUUGUGUACGUUUAACGUUAUAUUAUUUUAUUACAAUAUUUACAUUAUGAAAAUAAAGAUAUUCUGAAACAAGAAUGUUUUUUUUUCUGUACGGCGAUCAAGUUGGCACUGUCUUUCUUUCUCGACAGCGAUGGUUCCGAUACUCUGUGCAUGUUACAUCUUGAACACGAGAACGAGAGAUAUAUCCGAUAUGCGUCAGACAUAUUCGACAGACGUUUAGCUUUAUCGCAAGUUCCGAUUACACGAAUAGAAAAUAAAGAUUACGUAGGUUGGAUGACGUCAUAACAUCGAAGAAUAUCGCGGGACGUUUGUUUAUCCGACUCGCUAGCUACAAUAUUUUAGUUGAACGAGCACCGCUAUCAUUUUAAAUUAAACUUGCGUCAUAUGACGCACUCUGAUUUUAAUGUUCCACUUAGAGAAUAAACUGAAAGAUGUCUUCAGCUUUAUUUGCACUUGAAACGCAGGUAUUCGUUUUUUACUCGCGCAUACAAUCGCGUACGUGGUUUUCUUUAUACGUAAUUCGACUUGUUAUUUUCGAUUUCGAUUCGCGCAAUUGUUUUAUUUUUCUCCACGCGGAUGAUUAAACGUUCGACUGUUAAACAUUCGUCUCUCCGCGCGCGCGCGCGCGCAUGCAAGAGUCGUAAAAGUUUGUAUCGUAGCGUCGUUGCGUACCCCUUGCGAUUAAAAUGGUGGUAAGAAUGCGCUCUCGCAUAAUUUCACGUCAUUAAUCCUUUUUAAAAAAAAUUUACGUCUGCAACGGGUUAACAAUCGGCGGCCGCGGCGUAAAUAGCUUUCCUGCGCGAACGUCGAUGUCACCGACGAUCGGCGCGACCACCCAAGUUCGCUCCCGCCUGACCACCCGCGCAAACUCGCUCCUCUCCUCGACGAAGAAAUUCCGCUCGCCGCGACUUGCCGUCACUUCGACAACGAUGACGCUCCGCGAAUGCUCCAGUAGAUUCCCGAUUGACAAAUGCGGAUCUACCUGCGAUUCCGUACUGUAUGUACAUAGGGGCGGUUUGGCAUGCGGCGAUGCGCAACAAUACUGCACAGCGACCGCGCGUGUUUGCCGAUUGUCACUGGGGGAGGAUGGAGAGGUAAAUACAAUUUUGCCUCGCUCGACGUGCACAUCUGUAGAUACGAGUGCGAGGAUCGACACCCGCCUGCAUCCCAGAUACCAACCGUUCACAUAUACUUUGACUAUUGUAGCAAACGCCAAGUCGAAAAUUUCAACAAGUCGAGACAGAGAGAGAGAGAGAGAGAGAGAGAGACUGUUAUUUCACUUGCUCUUCAAUAGUACUACACAUCCAAAGUUAAUUGACGAAAGAACGUUUACAUGAGCUAAGUUGUGUCACAUACUUUGCGUGUAUUAAUCUUUCCUAUUAGAAAUGAUUAGUCGAAGAGCUGUUGUUUCUCAGUUUGUGAAUUGCUUACAAUCGGACGAGCUCAUAAACGCAUGACUUCGAAAAAUCUCUUUUUUAUGUACAAUACAUAGAACAAUGUAAUUGUAAAACAAAGAUUGUUCCAGGAGCAGGAGAACAAAAAGAGGAGCAAGAAAAGGGAAAGAACAAUGUAAAAAAUAGGAAUAGGAAUAAUUUUGCGAUGGUAAAAUGUAUAUCCGCGCGGUUUACCAUCGCCGAACUGGUUAAACAGGUUAUCGGUUUAUGGCUGCUGUAAAGAGAUUUUAAAUUUCGCGGCACAUGUGCCCGUUGCAUUCCUCACCACGGUACUUUACAUAUACUUUUUCCUUCGUUUUUCAGUCGUUUUAUCGAGUUCAUAACGUCACGCGUUGACGGUCAGGGCCAAUGGCAAGCAGUUUUCCGAUCAUGACAAGCGUAUUCAUGGAGAAGCGUAUAUACUUUCUCAUAAGUAAAACUUUAUUCUGGUAUCUUCAUUUCUUACGAAUCUCAUUCACAAUGUGCAGCCUUGCUGCAGCUUUGACGUCGUAUCUUGCGCAUAAUUAGCAAUUUGCAUUUGUGAUUUUAACAUGCAUAUGUAAGUUGCCAAUAUGUAAGAUGCAAUUAUAUAAAAUUACUAAUAAAAAGUAUUAUUGAAACGAAGACAGAGACGGGGAGAGGGAGGGGGAGAGAGAGCUCAUUCAAAUUAUUGCUGAACUUUUUAAUAUACGAUAUUUUCUGCAUUAAAUAAAUUCCACGUAAUUAAUUUUAUUUUUCAAAAUAUAGAAAUAUAUAUAUUUUUUAAUAUACUUUAUUUCAAUUCUACACGGAAAAUUUUCUUUGAGUUCACUCUUCUAAAUUACUGUCGUAGACUUUAAAGAAUUUUAUUGUGAUUUUAGUAGAAAUUAAUUUGAUUAAAUUUUACUAAAAUUUACUAGUAAAAUUCUUUGAAGUCCAUAUUCUGCGACUACCAUAAUUUUAAGAAUAAAUUGUAAAAGAAAAUUCUCUCAUUUAUAAGAAUGCUAGAUCUCAAUAUCUCCAUAAAUAAUUUUUAAAAAUUCAAAUAAAUUAAGUGAGCCUUAUUCGAAUAUUUUACAGAUAAACAUUUUCGUAUUAUAUCAAUAAUAAUAAGACAUAAGAAAAAUGGUAAAUGAUUAUUUUCCCAAAAGAGGAAAUAAAUUUAAGGAUAUUUAUCUACGAUUAUAAAUAGGUUUAUUGUAGAGAAAAAGAUAUCGGUAAAAAUCUUCUCAGAAUAAAAUCUACAAAUGCGUCUUUUAAGAUGUUUUGGGAAAGACGUAAAGAGCAAAAAUGCGUUCUUAAGCUUGCGAAUACACAUGGAUAGCUCGCUCUCACUCGGUGCGUGUUGAAUUCGUAAUAAGAAACUCCAUUUGAAGUAGAUAUUUUAUUUCCAACUUAGGAACUGAAAUGCCCAUAUAAUAAAAAAUAUUUUGUAUCGUAAUAAUUACUAUUAUUGAAGUGGGAAAACGAGGGUUAUGCUAAAAUCGUUUCUACUAAGUUUACAAAAUGAAGAGAAAACUUCGGAAAAAAAAAACGAAAACAAUCGUAGACUCUUCCUCGAAACACUCUCCAAAGUUCUCACUCACUCAUUCAUUUCGUCGCACUCGCUCGCACGCGUUAAAAAAGGACUCGAGAUUUAUAAAAUAAUCGCGGUAACAGAAUAUAUAUAAACGAAAAAUCAUAUAAAAUCUUCCACGUGGAAUUCUUUGCACAUUGUUUAUUAUUCUCCCUUAUCUUUUUAUCAUUUCACGCGAUUCACGUCUAUCUUCUUAGUUUCUCGAACUGUCGAGGGGCUCGCAAAAGCACGUACAAAUGACUAUCGCCAUUGUUCAAUUUCGUACUCGCUAUCUAAUCAAUUUUUCUUUUUAUGGCACGUAUUUUCGUAAGAGCCCUUCCUUUCGUGAAGACUCGAUAAUAUUAGUCUUCUUCGUCACUACAUGAACCUCGCGAUAUUAUAUCGAAUCGCAAUCAUAACGGAUCCGUAUACUCGACUAUCUUUGCCUCUUUUCUUAUUAAUUUUUUACACAUACGCUAGAACCCGUGGAGUCCCUUCAACUUUUCGCUUCUGUAUACGUUUAUCAGACUUGGACGUGAAGAUCUAUCUUAAGAUUUUAUAUGUGUGUGUAUGUGUGUGUGUGUGUAUGUGUACACGUGUAUUUGUGUCUGCCUGUAUGUGUAGUUUAGUUCUUUCGGGCGAUCGCGCCAGAGAUCCACUGGUACCCAACAACGCCCGUUAAAAUUCUCGAAAAAGACUUACAAUAGAAUUUCUCGUCGCAUAGCACCAUGUCGAAAAGCGACGCGAUGCGAUCGAUGUGGUCGCAACGCGCCCGGGUCGCCGGAAAUCAGCCGCGGUCUUACAAAAAUAACAACAGUGGUAGAACAUUCUUUUAUGUUAUCGUCAUAGUCAUCGUCAUUUCGUGCGCGUUGUCGAUAAUUCCGUUUCACGACUCGUUGAAUACCACUGGAAGGCUAUUGUUAAUCAAUUGCCGCGGUCUCGCAAUCGGCGCCGGAACGCCUGUUAUCACGAAAGAACCAUCCGAAAAAACGUGAACAAUUCAUUAUUCUUGAAAGACAUCAAUAUAGAAAUCUGAUUUUCUUUUUUUUCGCCGAACGAUCCGAAGCGGAUCUUUCUUUCUCUUGUACGUCUUAGGAUUACGAAUGUUUUAACGUUACUCUCAUAUUUAUUAGAAUUUUUUUAAUCAGAGUAUCCUAAAACGAACAAAUUCUAUCAAUAUGUCUACAUUUAACAUGAAUAUACCGUCAGUAAAUUUUUUAAAAUCUGUUUUCAAAUAUUUUGGUGGCCCGCGAUGUUCGAUCACAUUUGGUAGCAAUAGCGUAACAAUUAGUUCGACUGUAUGGUUGCCGUUGUUUCUUUUUACCCCAAGACAAAACGGAAGUUUGCUUUGCGUUGCUUCAUCGACACGGCGUUAGAAAACGAAAGAUCGUUACAAAUGUCUUUCGAGCGAAAAAAAAGACCAUCGGAAAUAUUUCUGUAAAAUACCCUCUUUUCAUUUCUCCAAAAA